AUUGAACGCUGGCGGCAUGCCUUACACAUGCAAGUCGAACGGCAGCACGGGAGCAAUCCUGGUGGCGAGUGGCGAACGGGUGAGUAAAGUAUCGGAACGUGCCCAGUCGUGGGGGAUAACGUAGCGAAAGUUACGCUAAUACCGCAUACGAUCUAUGGAUGAAAGCGGGGGAUCGCAAGACCUCGCGCGAUUGGAGCGGCCGAUAUCAGAUUAGGUAGUUGGUGGGGUAAAGGCUCACCAAGCCGACGAUCUGUAGCUGGUCUGAGAGGACGACCAGCCACACUGGGACUGAGGCACGGCCCAGACUCCUACGGGAGGCAGCAGGGGGGAAUUUUGGACAAUGGGCGAAAGCCUGAUCCAGCCAUGCCGCGUGCAGGAUGAAGGCCUUCGGGUUGUAAACUGCUUUUGUACGGAACGAAAAGGUUUGGCCUAAUAAGCUGAGCUCAUGACGGUACCGUAAGAAUAAGCACCGGCUAACUACGUGCCAGCCGCCGCAGUAA
rnacentral:rRNA from 1 species